UACGUAGGUGACCAGCGUUGUCCGGAUUUACUGGGCGUAAAGAGCGCGCAGGCGGUCGUUCAAGUCGAGUGUGAAAGCCCCCGGCUCAACUGGGGAGGGUCACUCGAUACUGAUCGACUGGAAGGCAGGAGAGGGAAGCGGAAUUCCCGGUGUAGUGGUGAAAUGCGUAGAUAUCGGGAGGAACACCAGUGGCGAAGGCGGCUUCCUGGCCUGUUCUUGACGCUGAGGCGCGAAAGCGUGGGGAGCGAACAGG
rnacentral:rRNA from 1 species